UGGGGAAUAUUGGACAAUGGGCGCAAGCCUGAUCCAGCCAUGCCGCGUGAGUGAUGAAGGCCCUAGGGUUGUAAAGCUCUUUUGUGCGGGAAGAUAAUGACGGUACCGCAAGAAUAAGCCCCGGCUAACUUCGUGCCAGCAGCCGCGGUAAUACGUAGGGGGCAAGCGUUGUCCGGAUUUACUGGGUGUAAAGGGCGCGCAGGCGGGAUAAAAAGUCAGUGGUGAAAUCCUACAGCUUAACUGUAGAACUGCCUUUGAUACUUUUAUUCUUGAGUUCGGGAGAGAGAGACGGGAUUCCAGGUGUAGUGGUGAAAUACGUAGAUAUCUGGAAGAACACCAGUUGCGAAGGCGGUCUCUUGGUCCGACACUGACGCUGAGGCGCGAAAGCGUGGGGAGCAAAC
rnacentral:rRNA from 1 species